rnacentral:tRNA from 1 species
GGGGUAGAGCUCAAUUGGUAGAGUGCUUACCUCACAUGAACAAGACCCUGGGUUCAAUCCCCAGCACCACA